AACACGUGAGUAACCUGCCCUUGACUCUGGGAUAAGCCUGGGAAACUGGGUCUAAUACCGGAUACGACCGCUCACCGCAUGGUGUGGUGGUGGAAAGCUUUUGCGGUUUUGGAUGGACUCGCGGCCUAUCAGCUUGUUGGUGGGGUAAUGGCUCACCAAGGCGACGACGGGUAGCCGGCCUGAGAGGGUGACCGGCCACACUGGGACUGAGACACGGCCCAGACUCCUACGGGAGGCAGCAGUGGGGAAUAUUGCACAAUGGGCGAAAGCCUGAUGCAGCGACGCCGCGUGAGGGAUGACGGCCUUCGGGUUGUAAACCUCUUUCAGUAGGGAAGAAGCGAAAGUGACGGUACCUGCAGAAGAAGCGCCGGCUAACUACGUGCCAGCAGCCGCGGUAAUACGUAGGGCGCAAGCGUUAUCCGGAAUUAUUGGGCGUAAAGAGCUCGUAGGCGGUUUGUCGCGUCUGCUGUGAAAGACCGGGGCUCAACUCCGGUUCUGCAGUGGGUACGGGCAGACUAGAGUGCAGUAGGGGAGACUGGAAUUCCUGGUGUAGCGGUGAAAUGCGCAGAUAUCAGGAGG
rnacentral:rRNA from 1 species